rnacentral:rRNA from 1 species
GACGAACGCUGGCGGCGUGCUUAACACAUGCAAGUCGAACGGAAAGGCCCUGCUUUUGUGGGGUGCUCGAGUGGCGAACGGGUGAGUAACACGUGAGUAACCUGCCCUUGACUUUGGGAUAACUUCAGGAAACUGGGGCUAAUACCGGAUAGGAGCUCCUGCUGCAUGGUGGGGGUUGGAAAGUUUCGGCGGUUGGGGAUGGACUCGCGGCUUAUCAGCUUGUUGGUGGGGUAGUGGCUUACCAAGGCUUUGACGGGUAGCCGGCCUGAGAGGGUGACCGGCCACAUUGGGACUGCGAUACGGCCCAGACUCCUACGGUAGGCAGCAGUGGGGAAUGUUGCACAAUGGGCGGAAGCCUGAUGCAGCAACGCCGCGUGCGUGAUGACGGCCUUCGGGUUGUAAACCGCUUUCGCCUGUGACGAAGCGUGAGUGACGGUAAUGGGUAAAGAAGCACCGGCUAACUACGUG